AGCAGCCGCGGUAAUUCCAGCUCCAAUAGCGUAUAUUAAAGUUGUUGCAGUUAGAAAGCUCGUAGUUGAAUUUCGGGAUUAGUACGUUGGUCGUGCCUUCGGUAUGUACUGAUGUUACUGGUUCCUACCUUCUGAAGAACCGUUAUGUCAUUAAUUUGGUGUGGCGGGGAAUCAGGACUGUUACUUUGAAAAAAUUAGAGUGUUUAAAGCAGGCUCGCGCUUGAAUACAUUAGCAUGGAAUAAUGAAAUAGGACGUUCGAUCCUAUUUUGUUGGUUUCUAGGAUUGACGUAAUGAUUAAUAGGGAUAGUUGGGGGCAUUAGUAUUCAAUUGUCAGAGGUGAAAUUCUUGGAUUUAU
rnacentral:rRNA from 1 species